rnacentral:piRNA from 1 species
UGCCCUAAGGUUGCUGGAUAAGUAUU